CGAGACAGGAGGAGGAAAAGAGGAGAGCAUGGCACAGGAGCGAGGUGCACAAGGUUCACAUGAGCUCUCACUUUACUUGCUUCUGCUUUCUCGUCGCAUAACUGAACUUCUGAAAGCACAGAGCAGUGCUUUGUGAGAACUGUCAUUAUGACGGACAGCCGGCGUUAACAAUUUCCUAAUUAUAAUGCUAUAUUCAGUUAACUGUUCAAAUUGGUCAGAACACCAAAAGUGGACGUCCAUUUGCCAUUUACCAGCGAUAUCCAGCCUUCCCGCUCUAAUGGAACCCUGUGCUCGAGUUUCAACGUUCAUCUGCGGGAGACGGCUUUCCAAACACUCUGGAACUGGAAAAACAUGCCUGCAAAUGUGAGUGUGGUUAAUUCAGCUCUUUUACAGGCCUGUUCUGGUAAUUGCUUCUGUCAAUGAUACCCAUCUAUCCAUGCUGUAAUUACUUCCUGAUGCAAAGGCCACAGAGCAAUGAGCUGACCCCAGAAAUCCUCUACAGCAUUACCAAAAGGAUUAAUAUUUCACACUGAUGUUUAACUGUAAUAUAUUAGACAGUUCCCUUACUCACUCUCUGGUACAGAGAGGAGGAUGACUUGAAUUAGUUCAGCCUUACCUAUGUGUAUUCCCUGUUCCUUUAUGUAGUAAGAGACAGAGUCAUGUUAGGCCAAAAGUGGAGUCUCUUGUUUCAGCCAGUUGCACUUACUGAAAACCGAUAAGUUUAGAUUUCUGCUUAAUUUCUUUGAAACCUCUCUUCCUAGAUCUACUUUUCAGUGCAGUUGUGUAUUAUGUUGUCAGAUGUUUUGCUUAUCUUUAUCUAUUUUCCCGCAAUAGGGCAGUUUUUGAAUACAAGAAGAAACUUAUAAGAAAAUACACUCACCUACAAUUGCAAGGUUAUGUUCAGAUCCACAUGCAAUCUGUGGAGAAAAAUAUUUGAAAAGGGAUUAAAAUGCAUGUUGAAAGCAAGCAGCCAAUUUAAAGACUGUAAUAUUCAAGAAUUGUUAUGCUGGCAUGGAUACUGAGAUACUUUGUAACCAAACCUGCUCUGAAACUGAAAUAAAAUGCCAUAUGUCAAGA